CCUGCACCACGAUGUCCUUCAUGUAGUCGUACUCCUCGGGGGUGCAGGAAGGCGGUGAAAUCCUUCCUUGGUGGCCGCCAUGUCGCCGUCGCGGUCGGCAUCUUGAAGCGCCGCUCGUCCCUCACCAUCAUCUGCUUGUAGUUGAAGCCGUGUCCGCGGUCGGGGUCGUCUGCGGGGCGGGGGCCAAUUAACGCUAAUUAACGCCUCACCGAGUGAUCCGUGACGCCGGGAUUGGCCGUGGGGGCACCUGGGUGCCAUUAAUUAGCAGCGGCCCGGAGUUAAUGAGGCGUGGGGAGCCAUUAAUUAGCAGCGGUGUUAACGAGGCGCCUGGGAGGGCGUGGGGAGCCAUUAAUUAGCAGCGGCCCGUUGUUAAUGAGGCGUGGGGAGCCAUUAAUUAGCAGCGGCCCGGUGUGAACGAGGCGUGGGGAGCCAUUAAUUAGCAGCGGUGUUAACGAGGCGCCUGGGAGGGCGUGGGGAGCCAUUAAUUAGCAGCGGCCCGGUGUUAAUGAGGCGUGGGGAGCCAUUAAUUAGCAGGGCAUGGUGUUAACGAGGCGUGGGGGACCAUUAAUUAGCAGUGGUGUUAACGAGGCACCUGGGGGGUGUGGGGAGCCAUUAAUUAGCAGCGGCCCGGUGUUAAUGAGGCGUGGGGAGCCAUUAAUUAGCAGCGGCCCGGUGUUAACGAGGCGUGGGGAGCCAUUAAUUAGCAGCGGCCUGGUGUUAAUGAGGCGUGGGACCAUUAAUUAGCAGUGGUGUUAACGAGGCGCCUGGGAGGGUGUGGGUAUCCAUUAAUUGCAGCGGCCCGGUGUUAAUGAAGUGUUUGGGAGGGCGUGGGGAGCCAUUAAUUAGCAGCAGCCCGGUGUUAACGAGGAGCCUGGGAGGGCGUCUGGGGGGCCAUUAAUUAGCAGCGGCCCGGUCUUAACGAGGCGCCUGGGAGGGGGUGGGGAGCCAUUAAUUAGCAGCGGCCCGGUGUUAACGAGGCGUGGGGAGCCAUUAAUUAGCAGCGGCCUGGUGUUAACGAGGCGUGGGAGCCAUUAAUUAGCAGCGGUGUUAACGAGGCGCCUGAGGGUGCAGCCCGCGGUGCUCCGGGAGGUCAUAAGGCCGUUAAUGAGGGCGCUAAUUAACGGGGCGGGAGUUCCCCUCCGUCCCUGGUGACCCCAAUCCCUUAAUCCCAACCCUGACCCCAAACCGUGACCCCAAACCCCAAACUGUGACCCCAAACCCCGACCCCUAAUCCUAACUCUGACCCCAAACCCCAAACCGUGACCCAAAACCCCGACCCCUAAUCCUAACCCUGACCCCAAACCCCAAACCAUGACCCCUAACCCUAACCCUGACCCCUAACCCUGACCCCAAACCCCAACCCCUAACCCUGACCCCGAC
ensembl:lncRNA